UACGGAGGGUGCAAACGUUGCUCGGAAUCAUUGGGCGUAAAGCGCACGUAGGCGGUCCAGCAAGUCGGGUGUGAAAGCCCUGGGCUUAACCCAGGAAGUGCAUUCGAAACUGCUGGACUUGAAUACUGGAGAGGGUCGCGGAAUUCCCGGUGUAGAGGUGAAAUGCGCAGAUAUCAGGAGGAACACCGGUGGCGAAGGCGGAUCUCUGGGCCUUACCUGACGCUCAGGCGCGAAAGCUAGGGGAGCGAACAGG
rnacentral:rRNA from 1 species